CAUGCAAGUCGAGCGGACAGAAGGGAGCUUGCUCCCGGAUGUUAGCGGCGGACGGGUGAGUAACACGUGGGUAACCUGCCUGUAAGACUGGGAUAACUCCGGGAAACCGGAGCUAAUACCGGAUAGUUCCUUGAACCGCAUGGUUCAAGGAUGAAAGACGGUUUCGGCUGUCACUUACAGAUGGACCCGCGGCGCAUUAGCUAGUUGGUGGGGUAAUGGCUCACCAAGGCGACGAUGCGUAGCCGACCUGAGAGGGUGAUCGGCCACACUGGGACUGAGACACGGCCCAGACUCCUACGGGAGGCAGCAGUAGGGAAUCUUCCGCAAUGGACGAAAGUCUGACGGAGCAACGCCGCGUGAGUGAUGAAGGUUUUCGGAUCGUAAAGCUCUGUUGUUAGGGAAGAACAAGUGCGAGAGUAACUGCUCGCACCUUGACGGUACCUAACCAGAAAGCCACGGCUAACUACGUGCCAGCAGCCGCGGUAAUACGUAGGUGGCAAGCGUUGUCCGGAAUUAUUGGGCGUAAAGGGCUCGCAGGCGGUUUCUUAAGUCUGAUGUGAAAGCCCCCGGCUCAACCGGGGAGGGUCAUUGGAAACUGGGAAACUUGAGUGCAGAAGAGGAGAGUGGAAUUCCACGUGUAGCGGUGAAAUGCGUAGAGAUGUGGAGGAACACCAGUGGCGAAGGCGACUCUCUGGUCUGUAACUGACGCUGAGGAGCGAAAGCGUGGGGAGCGAACAGGAUUAGAUACCCUGGUAGUCCACGCCGUAAACGAUGAGUGCUAAGUGUUAGGGGGUUUCCGCCCCUUAGUGCUGCAGCUAACGCAUUAAGCACUCCGCCUGGGGAGUACGGUCGCAAGACUGAAACUCAAAGGAAUUGACGGGGGCCCGCACAAGCGGUGGAGCAUGUGGUUUAAUUCGAAGCAACGCGAAGAACCUUACCAGGUCUUGACAUCCUCUGACAACCCUAGAGAUAGGGCUUUCCCUUCGGGGACAGAGUGACAGGUGGUGCAUGGUUGUCGUCAGCUCGUGUCGUGAGAUGUUGGGUUAAGUCCCGCAACGAGCGCAACCCUUGAUCUU
rnacentral:rRNA from 1 species